CCGAGACACGUACUCUCCGGCCCGAAGCUUUAACGCGUGGCCGCCUUUAUACCGCCGGAGCCUGGGCCACACAGCAACAAGACGUCUCCUGGCUGGCCGUCGCUCUUUGUCACUCGUAAGAUUCGGGAGCUCCUAUUGGUUCCGCGGCGCUGGGCGGGCGGGGCGCGCGGGGUGAGGCGAAUGGCGGCCCGCGGGACCGGGUUGUGGGGGAAAGCGCGUGCGGGGGCUUCGCGCCUCUCACCUCAGCGUCCACGGCUCCGUGCGCCCGUGGAGAAGUGGGCGUGCGGGUGGCUGCCGCGCUCACUUACAACUGCGUUAUUCUCUCCAGGCGCUUCCCGAUAACAGACCGGGAAGCCCAGCCCCAGAGGCGCAACGCCCGCGUGAGGCGAUGGCUGUUGCCCGCAGCAGCCUCCUAACGGUCCGCCGCAAAGCGCUCCCGUCCCGGUUUUUAUAUUUGUGGCAGCUGAAUGCAGCAGUGUGCUCUGAAGUUAAAAGUGUAUAGACCAGCAGCAAGAGUAGACCAAAAUGGGUGGCAGUUUAUGAAAGUCUGUUGUCUAAGCUUAGGUUCAGAUGAUGGAUGUAAUCUGGGUGUUUUAAUGAUAUAGUGUAUUAAUUUCUCUGCAAAAGUCAUUACUCUGAAUAUCUCUUUUGUAUUUUAUCAAGCCUUGCUAAGGACUUGCAUGAUUUAUUGUUUGAUUUGCAGUUCUCCAUAGGUUUCCAUUUCCUUUCUUUCUCUCUUUUUUUUUUGCUUUGCUUUGCUGAACUAUCUGCUUUCCUUUUGUAGCUCUUGCAUGGAUGUGCUUAACAAUGCUUUCUUCAGAUCUGUAAUCUCUUCCAACUGUUGAUUUCUUCUGGUCAAUCCCAUUUCAGUCUCUCAGCUUGGCAAUUCCGAAAAGCAAUUUCCACUACUAUCUCUAUUUUAUGCUAGAAAUAAGGUAGAGAUAUAUAUUUAAGAAGUAAAGGGUAAGUGUCUAGUAUCUAUAUACAGUAUCCACAUGCUAUGCCCAUGUACAGAUGAGUAGGAGCUUUAUAGAGAACAGGAAGCCUAUGCUAGCCUCGACAGGUAUUCAACAUGAAUGCAUCCUAAGCAAAAUCAUGGAAUUGAGCAGGAGAGUCUUUACUUUAAAAUGGCUUAGUAGAAAUCAAUUGCUUUAGAUGACUUACAUUGUAGGAGCUAUUGUUUGUGGAACAAAAGGUAAAUAGAACUUGAUCAAUAUGUGUAUGGGCUUACAGCUGAAAACCAAAUGUUUUGUGUGGAGCAGAAAAUACUUGAUGUGGAAAGACAUAGAGAAUUGACAUAAAAAGAUGGUCUACAAAAUAAAAUAUACUCGCAAAAAAAAAAAAAUCUGAGUGGAAGAGAAUGAUUUAUAUGUUGUGAUCAGAGAAAAAGAUAUCAGCAGUAACUGAGAUGAGGAGGGCUUGUGCAAGAUACCCAGCCACAUCAGUGACUCACAGAAGUCACAGCAGUUUGGACUAAUCUGAAUCUAAAACUCACAUUCCUGGCUGUGAAGUUCCACCUACUCCUUUGCACAGUUAGUUGUAAAAUAACUCAGCUGAAAAGUGGUUGGUUUUCAGCCAGAUCAUUUAUCUAGCACACGCUCAUUACACGACAGUAAAUUGCAAUGGGAACACCUUAAGUUUGAAAGGAGACAGUAAUAUGAGGCAAUCAUAUCUGUAUUUGUCAAUUAGCACAAUGAGCUAUGAGCUAGAAGGGAAGGGAGGAGAGAAAUUAUAGCAGAGUUCACUGGUGUUCUUGCAGACACGGGAAAGAAACACAAGGGAAGCUAUUGCUGUGCCAGGCUGGGGAAAAAGCAAUAUGUGAGAAUAAUUGCAAAAGCUAAGGUAAGAGGGAAGCUAGCUAUGCUAAAAGUGACUGGAGACAAAAGAGCUUGGUUUAAGAUGUGUUGAGAAGCUUUUAGAUGAGUAGAGGAAGCAAAACUGUGUUUGAAGUGAAUUCCAACCACAUCUCCUGUCUGCAAGCAGAUAGGAGGUGUGGUUGGAAGACAAAAACAUGAGAUGAGAAGAGGUGCUUCUACGGAAGGAUUAUAUUGAAUUAAUUGAUUGAUGUACAAGAGGUUGAAGUGCAUCUGUGUGGAUGCUGGGGGUCAGAGCAGAGUGUAUGAUAAAAGCUGUGAACGUAUGAAAGAGGGAGCAUGAGGGUGAUCAGGAAAUAAAAUGGAAGAGGGACAGUAGAGCAAUUGAUGGAGUUACAGAGGAUGUGUACAUGAGAAGUUUGUUAUUACUUAGAGUCUUGUAGAAAUAAUAGCAUAUGUAAAGAAAAUUGUGACAUAGCAAAUACAUGACAGCAGAAAUGAAGGCUUGAAUUGGGUUAGUCAAAAGCAAUAAAAAGUUAGCUAGGAUUACAGGCAUGUAGGCAAGCUGCAGCAGAAUUGUUUAGCUGUAAGAAAUGGAGGAGGGAGCGGGCUUGCAGGAGCGGAAGUCAGCUUGGUCACAGGAUUUCUGUCAAAGACUCUUUGCACUGCAAGAGCAAGCACAGAUGAAGCAGGUUAUGGAGGUAAGCUGGUACUGCAUGUAGGUAUCCCAGCCUUUAUCGUGGGAGACAGAAACGAAAAAAAUGGUGUCAGUGGUGGACAGAAGUUGUUUGUGUGGCAAAUGAAUAACCAGGAAAUUAUUACUACUUUUUUUUUCAUGCUUGACAUUAAAAUGCAUGUAAAGCUAAAAUGUGUAAGUUUCAUUUUUAAUCAGUGAAACUAGCCAGUAUUAUUCUUUAACUUUUCUUUAUUAUUUUGCAUUAUCCCGUGCAAUUUUACAUCAUUCUGUUUUUCCUCCUCCUUUCUUUUUUUAAUGAACAAUCCCCCAGUAAAUAUUUUGUCCAUCUUCUUGCAAUAUUGGAGUUCAAAGUUCUAAAACAGUAUUUUUUCUUUAAGAAGUUAUUUGUUACUAGAAUGCAAAUGCAUCUGCAACCAUCAUCUUAAUGUUAUUAUAUUCCAUGCCAGCUAAAAAUAAGACAAGCAAGGCUUGUUAAACCGCUUAACAGAUCAGAUACAGCAGCCAAGCUAUGCCCAGAGAAGUAUUCAGAACUGUAAUGGUUUGUUGCAUUGUAAUUAAAAUUUCAGGUUUUGUUUGUUUGUUUUCUUAGCCCAUAGUAACAUCCCUGGGCUACAGAAGUUAGAGACAAUGCUUCAAACCAGCCUUUUAGUUAUUAGAAAUAGCUUCUCAAGCACUACAAAGAUAAGGUGCAUACAAUAACAAUAUCAACACAGUAUUAAAAGGUCGGGUUUAUGGAAUCCAAGGAUUUAGAAGAAGAAACCUCUGAGAUGGUCUUACUGUAUAAAGCUACUUCUUUGUUAGGGGACACACUGUUAUUUUCUCUUAGUGUGGGGGGGCCCCUUUAAAUGUGUAACUCUGCAUUAUUAAACGGUCGUGGGAAGUGCAGCAGGAGGAAACCCCGGGUAAUUGGCUGCAGCUUCAGAUGCAGCAGCUCGCUCAUUGGAGAGCAGAGGAUUCUCCGAGCUGCUAAAAUUAGAUGAUCUCCGCCCUCCAGAAAUGCUUCUGGAAACAGCAAGGAGGAGAAAUUCUGACACAGAAGGAUGGGGGAAGGAGCGAAGUGCACAGGAUGCUGCUCGUGGGGAAGCUUCAGCAGAUAAGGAUGCACAGACGGAUAUUGAGAUACUUUUUUCCUAUCUUGGUUAACUGGGAGCAAAAUGCACACACUGAAGAAAUUGCAAGUGAUCAAAGUCAGCAGUACUUUGUGAGGAUAUUAAAUUCAAUAUUUCUUAAGUAAUAAUCUGAAAUAUUCACUGGUGCUGAGGAGGUUUUUGAGCUGCUAAACCCAGGGUCAGCCUGUCAGCCUUGUAAGCAUUUACUUUGCCAAGGAGCAGCUCUUGCCAAAUUAAUCCUGAACUAAAAGAAAAAGUAGAUGAACUCGCAAAUCUUUCUAGGAAUUUAUUUCUCAUAAAACACUUAUUUUCCUUAUCUGUGAGUAGUUGCUGCAUUUACAAUAUCUUCAACUCAACUGUUGUUAACUGUUGUUAAAGAAGCCAACAUCGUAUGCCUGUAUUAGCAAAAUCAGUCUAUAUCUGAAUUGUUCAAGCCUUAACUUUCAUUUCUUCUGCUGACCAUUACUACGCAAUGUUGCACCUAUGGCUCUCUAAGUGUUUUGCCUUCUGCCCUUUCACCUUUGUAUCAACUUUCAACCUGUUUUCAAUAAAAAGAAAUGAAGCCCAUA